UACGUAGGCAGCGAGCGUUGUUCGGAGUUACUGGGCGUAAAGGGUGCGUAGGCGGUUUUCCAAGUUUGGUGUGAAAUCUCCCGGCUCAACUGGGAGGGUGCGCCGAAAACUGGAGGACUGGAGUACCGGAGAGGUAAGCGGAAUUCCUGGUGUAGCGGUGAAAUGCGUAGAGAUCAGGAGGAACACCUGUGGUGUAGACAGCUUACUGGACGGUGACUGACGCUGAGGCACGA
rnacentral:rRNA from 1 species